rnacentral:pre_miRNA from 1 species
ACGUGGUGCGCUUUGUGUGCCUGUGUGUAGAACAAGUACACACACACACACACACACACAGACACACACACACACACACACACACA